UACGGAGGGAGCUAGCGUUGUUCGGAAUUACUGGGCGUAAAGCGCACGUAGGCGGCUUUGUAAGUUAGAGGUGAAAGCCCGGGGCUCAACUCCGGAACUGCCUUUAAGACUGCAUCGCUUGAAUCCAGGAGAGGUGAGUGGAAUUCCGAGUGUAGAGGUGAAAUUCGUAGAUAUUCGGAGGAACACCAGUGGCGAAGGCGGCUCACUGGGCCAUUACUGACGCUGAGGUGCGAAAGCGUGGGGAGCAAACAGG
rnacentral:rRNA from 1 species